rnacentral:rRNA from 1 species
UGGGGAAUAUUGGACAAUGGGCGCAAGCCUGAUCCAGCCAUGCCGCGUGAGUGAUGAAGGCCCUAGGGUUGUAAAGCUCUUUCACCGGUGAAGAUAAUGACGGUAACCGGGGAAGAAGCCCCGGCUAACUUCGUGCCAGCAGCCGCGGUAAUACGAAGGGGGCUAGCGUUGUUCGGAUUUACUGGGCGUAAAGCGCACGUAGGCGGACUUUUAAGUCAGGGGUGAAAUCCCGGGGCUCAACCCCGGAACUGCCUUUGAUACUGGAAGUCUUGAGUAUGGUAGAGGUGGGUGGAAUUCCGAGUGUAGAGGUGAAAUUCGUAGAUAUUCGGAGGAACUCCAGUGGCGAAGGCGGCUCACUGGACCUUUACUGACGCUGAGGUGCGAAAGCGUGGGGAGCAAACAGG